rnacentral:rRNA from 1 species
AAAUUGCCAUGGAUACUGGGUUUCUUGAGUACAGAAGAGGUCGGUGGAAUCGUAUGUACGGUGAAAUGCAUAAUAUUACAAGAACAUCAGUGGCGGAGCGGCGGCUGGACUGUAACUGACACUGAGGCACGAAAGCGUGGGGAGCGAACAGGAUUAGAUACCCUGGUAGUCCACGCUGUAAACGAUGCAUACUAGNUNNUGUUGGUCCCCUUUAGGGCCAGUGAUGCAGUUAACGCAGUAAGUAUGCCACCUGGGGAGUACGUUCGCAAGAAUGAAACUCAAAGGAAUUGACGGGGGCCCGCACAAGCGGUGGAGCAUGUGGCUUAAUUCGAUGCAACGCGAGGAACCUUACCUGGGCUAAAUCUACAGUGUUACCCUCCCGNANAGA